ACGGCCAUACCAUGCUGAAUAUACCGGUUCUCGUUAGAUCGCAAGUCAAGCAUCAUUGGGCGCGGUCAGUACUUGGGUGGGUGACCACCUGGGAACACCGCGUACCGUU
rnacentral:rRNA from 1 species